rnacentral:rRNA from 1 species
CGCUUCUUGCAAGCCCAAAAAUAAGAGGUCCCGCCUGCCCUGUGACUAUUAUGUUUAACGGCCGCGGUAUUUUGACCGUGCGAAGGUAUCGCAAUCACUUGUCUUUUAAAUGGAGACCCGUAUGAAUGGCAUAACGAGGGCUUAACUGUCUCCUCUUUCAAGUCAAUGAAAUUGAUCUUCCCGUGCAGAAGCGGGAAUCUAAACAUAAGACGAGAAGACCCUAUGGAGCUUUAGACACCAAGGCAGCUUACGUUAAACACCCCCAAUAAGGACCUAAACCAAAUAAGCCCUCCCCUAAUGUCUUUGGUUGGGGCGACCGCGGGGAACUAAGUAACCCCCACGUGGAACGGGGGAACUCCCCCUACAGCUAAGAGCUACAGCUCUAGUAAACAGAAUUUCUGACCAGUAAGAUCCGGCAAUGCCGAUCAACGGACCGAGUUACCCUAGGGAUAACAGCGCAAUCCUCUUUUAGAGCCCAUAUCGACAAGGGGGUUUACGACCUCGAUGUUGGAUCAGGACAUCCUAAUGGUGCAGCCGCUAUUAAGGGUUCCGUUUGUUCAACGAUUAAAGUCCU